rnacentral:rRNA from 1 species
CGGGAGGCAGCAGUGGGGAAUUCUUGCCGAAGGCAGCAGUGGGGAAUCUUGCACAAUGGGCGAAAGCAUGACGUAUUCAUGCUGUGAAACUGAUGAAGGUCUUAGGAUUGUAAAAUUCUUUCUCCGGGGACGAUAAUGACGGUACCCGGAGAAGAAGCCCCGGCUAAUUUCGUGCCAGCAGCCGCGGUAAUACGAAGGGGGCAAGCGUUAUUGGGAAUUAUUGGGCGUAAAGGGCGGGUAGGGGGUUCGUUAAGUCAGGGGUGAAAUCCCGGGGUUCACCCUGGGAAUUGCCCUUAAUACUGCCGAUCUGGAGUAUGAGAGAGGUAGGGGGAAUUCCGAGUGUAGAGGUGAAAUUCGUAGAUAUUGGGAGGAACACCAGUGGGGAAGGCGCCACCCUGGCUCAUUACUACCGUUGAGGCGGAAAAGCGUGGGGAGCAACCAGGAUUAGAUACCCUGGUAGUCCACCCCGUAAACGA